AUUGACGACGUGGCAAAUGAGCAGCAAAUUGAUCAAUACGAAUGAUCACGCCCCAUGUGCAUCUCCUCAGCAGCCACAAGAGAGACGAGGUCACUGGAGGAUAAACAUCCGUGACUGCACCUCAUGAUCCAUCACGCACGACGGCCGCAGCAUCUCCUGCCAGCUGCCGGCACAGACAAGAGCACGGGAUGGACGACCGCGGUAGCAACGUGGGGCUCAUCUGCCUCUCUCUGAGCAGGAAGCCCGCUCACACGGGGAGCCACCAGGCUGGACUGGGUGCAGCUUACGGACGUGGCGCGUGCUGUGGGCGUCGGGCCGCGGCUCCUCCAUGCAGUACUUACACUGCUGUCUGCAGAUCGCACCCAAUCAGGAGGGAAUGGUCCAGGCAGGUGGGCAAGGCCACGGUUUGGCCAGGUAAGGCUGGGAGGGCCCAGGAUGAUUGUGCGUUGAGCCAGGCAGAUCUGGAGAGGCGGAGGGAUGGGGACGGAGCGCCAUGCAGAGGCCGCUCGGUCCUCAGGAGCUGAGCAUCACCCUGGGAGUCUCAAGGAGGGUGUCCCCUGGCCUUAGCGGGCAGCCAGGGCCAGCAUGUGGUCUGUGGCAGCCGGUCUCAGAGGUGGCCUGGUUCGCAGUCUUGCUGGAUGGAGAUCCCCAGCUCCUAGGGCAAGGGCAGGUGGGGUGGGGCCGCCUCGGUCAGCUGAUAGGAACUGAACUGAGAAGGCUGUGAGCCGCUGAGUCGCCCUAACUGCAGGGUGGUCCUGCGGGCAGUACUGAGCCCGCCCUGCUGGGCACCCCACAGCCCCUGUGGCUCUCCAGCUGCCACUGAGGCCGGACGCCUCAUGAGGAGGCUCCCAUCUGUGGGUGGCAGAAUGACGGCCCCGAAGACCCCCCGCUUCCUCACCCGAAGACCCCCCGCUUCCUCACCCGAAGACCCCCCGCUUCCUCACCCGAAGACCCCCCGCUUCCUCACCCAAAGACCCCCCGCUUCCUUGCCCCGAAGACCCCGCUUCCUCACCCUGGGACCUGUGAGUUCACACAGCAGCGGGGACCUGCGACUGUGGACGGCACAUCAGCUCCCUCAACAGGGAGGCUGCCCUG
ensembl:lncRNA LINC00304 long intergenic non-protein coding RNA 304